UAUUUUGUAUAUUGACAGAGAUUAAGGGUAGUUCGUUAUAUUUUUUUUAUGUAUUCUAAUUAAUAGGUGGUUAGGUUUCCUAUUUGUCUUACCCUUCCUCUCAUCUGCUAAAUAUAGAGCAGUUUGAUUUGGCUCUCCACUUAUACGGAUUUUAUUUUGUCAACCUCAGCCUUGUCUAUAAGACAAAGUAAUCGCUGCUUAGGCCCUACUAGUCUUAUGGUAUCUUUGGAUGGAGUCGGAAUUUCAGUGACAUUCCAAUGCAGUCUUUAAUUUAUCAGUAUUUUAUAAAGAAUGCACUUUGGCAGAUCCGCUUUAACGCGGGAAUGUGGACGUAUAAAUUGGUUAUAUGUAUAUGUCCUAUAUACUAUCCUGUUUGGUUGAAAUUUCUUGCCUUUUACUUUUGCUGCUAUUUGGAGUAGUAAAGAGAGCCGAGCAUGAUAUCAGCC